rnacentral:rRNA from 1 species
AUGUCGAGGAGUGAGGUGCCGAUGAUGCCCGUGGAGCAGAGGAUGAGCGCCACGCUCUUGAAGGACGGCUUCGUCGCCGCCGCGCUCUCGUCCUGGCGCUUCUUGACGGCGCCCACCGCGCCUGCCCACCACCAGCUCAUCGCGGGGCGGAGAGCUCAUGGAUCUUGCGAGAUGGGGGUUAGGAACAGCCGCUUCUGGCACGGCCGGCGCGGCCGGCGCCCACGGCUUCCUCGGCGCAGUCAGCUACAACAGACGCGGCUCCUGCGACGGCGUCUCCGCGCCGGGGAAGCAGCGAGCGGCACAGCAAGACUUCAGGUUGGAUUGGCCGGCGGGGAGGAAGAAUGGUGCGGCCGAUUGGGGAGUCAGGAGGAAGAUGGAUUUCUCUCUUCUUUAUUUUCUCUCAGUCCCUUGCUCCGUUGUUUGCUGGGUGACUGGGUGUUGAGGCGAGGAACCAUCGUAGAAACCGGGUGGGACCUGUAG